AUGGCGGACCAGCAGGAGGCGCUGGCGGUGGCGCGGAGGAUGGCAGAGCAACGGGUGCGGUUGCACCUGCAGCGGAGCAUGGGUGUAAGGGAUCUCAAUCGACGCGGGCAGGGAAGAGUUCCUAGGAUUGAUGAAGAAGAGGCAUCCACUACCGUCGACGGCAUGCUCGUCACCCCACCUGACCUCAAGCUUGCAAUCCCGGCCGGCGAAUUUGGUCGUCCCGAGGAUAGGCAGACCUUCCACAUCGUUGAAUUGGAGAAUCCACAAGAUCCUACUAGUAUGUACGUGCAGCUCCUCUUCCGCGAGACAGAUUUGUAUUUCGUGGCCUUCCGACCGCUUGCUCCGGGUGUUAACCCAGACAGCGCAAACGGUUGGUUCCAUUUCAAGCAAGCAGAGCCUAUCAUACCAUCCUUCCUCAACUCCCACCAAAUCAACUAUGGUUACGGCUACAUUAAUGCGUACAGGAGGAGAGUACUGAUGGUUUGCGGCCUUAUGCUGUCCGAGACGCAGCGAUUCAUGCAGAUGAAGAGGGAGGUGAUCGAGAAUAUCCAUUCAAACAAUGGUGAACGUCAAGACAUUACUCAUCUCGAUGGGCUGAUUCAUGAUUGGGGUGUUGAGAGCAAUCGACGCGUAGCUGCUGCUGACCAUCAACAUCAACAUGGCGGCGGCGAGGCUCCAGCAGCAGCAGCAGCUCCAGGCCAGGUAGUGGACUAUGGCCUGUGGGUGUUGAAGUACAACCCUUACUACGUUCUUCCGCUCAUCAGGCGCCAGCUGCAGCAACACCCACAGCCGCCGCUCACGCGGCGUCAGAAGAAGCAGCAGCUGAGGCGGCGGUUGCUGCAGCUGCGGCUGCUGCAGCCACAUCAGCAUCAGCAUCAACAAGCCCUUUACCUUUAGUCGAUGGAUA
rnacentral:lncRNA from 1 species